rnacentral:rRNA from 1 species
UACAGAGGUCUCAAGCGUUGUUCGGAUUCAUUGGGCGUAAAGGGUGCGUAGGCGGCGCGGUAAGUCGGGUGUGAAAUCUCGGAGCUUAACUCCGAAACUGCAUUCGAUACUGCCGUGCUUGAGGACUGGAGAGGAGACUGGAAUUUACGGUGUAGCGGUGAAAUGCGUAGAUAUCGUAAGGAAGACCAGUGGCGAAGGCGGGUCUCUGGACAGUUCCUGACGCUGAGGCACGAAGGCCUGGGGAGCAAACGGG